rnacentral:lncRNA from 10 species
AUACACUGGCUAUCGUAGUCUUUAAAAAACUUAAAUUAAUGAAGAAGUGGAUAUUUUAACUGAGUCUAGAUAAUUAUUUGAAAAGGAUGUUAUAGAGUGAAUGGAGAGUUGGCUGGAGGACGGACUAUAUGACUUUUAACUGUUCUGUAUAAUCAGGGAUUCCAAGAUUCAAAAGCUGAGCUAUAAGGGAAAUCUAAGAAAUGCUAGUAGCCUUAGUUACAGUGUUUUUGUAUGUUGGUUUGUCACAGACUGCCUUUUCAAGGUGUGCCCUAUGAACAGAUAUUCUGCCCAGAAGCAAUAUUGGAAAGCAAAGCAAGCCAAACAAGGGAACCACACCGAGGCAGCCUUGCUGAAGAAACUACAGCACGCUGCAGAACUGGAACAAAAACAAAAUGAAUCGGAGAAUAAGAAACUGUUGGGAGAAAUUGUAAAAUACAGUAAUGUUAUACAACUACUGCAUAUAAAAAGCAACAAAUAUCUUACUGUCAACAAGAGAUUACCUGCUUUACUGGAGAAGAAUGCCAUGCGUGUGUCCUUGGAUGCUGCAGGAAAUGAAGGGUCUUGGUUUU